AAUAAUUCAUACAAAGUCUCAUAUAGCAUUACAGAAAUAUAAAUCCAUGGCCACCAAAGGACUGCUCUUUGCGUUUCUCCUCGUCUCUUCAUCUAUUCUUACAAAUGGAAAUCAAAGAACGGAAGCAGUGGUUUGCCGGAACGACUUAGAAUGCGAGGAGAAAUGUUCAUCAAGAGGAAGCACGUGCGAGAAUGGUAAAUGCAAAUGCGAACCAGCCUUAGAGGAAGAGGACAAGUUCAGGUUCGGACCAAAAGGGAACUGCAAGACGGCGCAAGAUUGCAAAUGGUAUUGUACCAUUAGACUUGGCCUAAUUAUGGAGUGUAUCAAUGGCCACUGCCAUUGCCAUUUUUCUUAAAGGGAAAAAAAGUAUUUAUAAGUUAAGCCAAAAUAAAUAAAUAAAUGUUCUCUUACA